UCCGCCGUGGUGUAAUCGGCAGCACCCAGGCCUUUGGAGCCUCGGAGUCUUGGUUCGAGUCCAAGCGGCGGAG
rnacentral:tRNA from 1 species